AUUGAACGCUAGCGGGAUGCCUUACACAUGCAAGUCGAACGAGUGGCGAACGGGUGAGUAAUGUAUCGGAACGUGCCCAGAAGCGGGGGAUAACUACGCGAAACGUAGCUAAUACCGCAUACUAUUGGAGCGGCCGAUAUCGGAUUAGCUAGUUGGUGGGGUAACGGCUCACCAAGGCGACGAUCCGUAGCUGGUUUUAGAGGACGACCAGCCACAAGGGGACUGAGACACGGCCCAGACUACUACGAGAGGCCGCAGUGGGGAAUUUUGGACAAGGGGGGAAACCAUGAUCCAGCCAGCCCGCGUGGGCGAUGAAGGCCUUCUGGGUGUAAAGAACUUUUGGCAGGGAAGCGGUACCUGCAGAAUAAGCACCGGCUAACUACGUGCCAGCAGCCGCGGUAAUAC
rnacentral:rRNA from 1 species